rnacentral:rRNA from 1 species
CAAUAGCGUAUAUUAAAGUUGUUGCAGUUAAAACGCUCGUAGUCGGAUUUCGGGGCGGUCUCGCCGGUCUGCCGAUGGGUAUGCACUGGCAGGGUCGUCCUUCCUUCCGGAGACUGCCCCUACUCUUAGCUGAGCGGGGGUGGGAGACGGAUCGUUUACUUUGAAAAAUCAGAGUGUUUCAAGCAGGCAGCUCGCUUUUGCAUGGAUUAGCAUGGGAUAAUGAAAUAGGACUUUGGUGCUAUUUUGUUGGUUUCGAACACCGAAGUAAUGAUUAACAGGGACAGUCAGGGGCACUCGUAUUCCGCCGAGAGAGGUGAAAUUCUCAGACCAGCGGAAGACGAACCACUGCGAAAGCAUUUGCCAGGGAUGUUUUCACUGAUCAAGAACGAAAGUUAGGGGAUCGAAGAUGAUCAGAUACCGU